GAUGAAGAACGUAGCGAAAUGCGAUAAGUAAUGUGAAUUGCAGAAUCCAGUGAAUCAUCGAAUCUUUGAACGCACAUUGCGCCCGCCAGCAUUCUGGCGGGCAUGCCUGUUCGAGCGUCAUUUCAACCCUCGACCUCCCUUUGGGGAAGUCGGCGUUGGGGACCGGCAGCACACCGCCGGCCCUGAAAUGGAGUGGCGGCCCGUCCGCGGCGACCUCUGCGUAGUAAACCAACUCGCACCGGAACCCCGACGUGGCCACGCCGUAAAACACCCAACUUCUGAACGUUGACCUCGAAUCAGGUAGGACUACCCGCUGAACUUAAGCAUAUCAAGAAGCGGAGGA
rnacentral:misc_RNA from 1 species